rnacentral:rRNA from 1 species
GACGAACGCUGGCGGCGUGCCUAAUACAUGCAAGUAGAACGCUGACUACUUUAGCUUGCUAGAGUAGAAGGAGUUGCGAACGGGUGAGUAACGCGUAGGUAACCUGCCUACUAGCGGGGGAUAACUAUUGGAAACGAUAGCUAAUACCGCAUAACAGUGUUUAACACAUGUUAGAUGCUUGAAAGAUGCAAUUGCAUCACUAGUAGAUGGACCUGCGUUGUAUUAGCUAGUUGGUGGGGUAACGGCCCACCAAGGCGACGAUACAUAGCCGACCUGAGAGGGUGAUCGGCCACACUGGGACUAAGACUCGGCCCAGACCCCAUCGGGAGGCAGCAGUAGGGAAUCUUCGGCAAUGGGGGCAACCCUGACCGAGAAACUCCGCGUGAGUGAAGAAGGUGUUCGGAUCGUAAAGCUCUGUUGUAAGAGAAGAACGUGUGUGAGAGUGGAAAGUUCACACAGUGACGGUAACUUACCAGAAAGGGACGGCUAACUACGUGCCAGCAGCCGCCGUAA